rnacentral:rRNA from 1 species
AUGAACGCUGGCGGCAUGUNNUNNACACAUGCAAGCUCGAACGGCAGCGCGGGAGCAAUCCUGGCGGCGAGUGGCGAACGGGUGAGUAACAUAUCGGAACGUGCCCUGGAGUGGGGGAUAACUAGUCGAAAGAUUAGCUAAUACCGCAUACGAUCUACGGAUGAAAGUGGGGGAUCCGCAAGGACCUCAUGCUCCUGGAGCGGCCGAUAUCUGAUUAGCUAGUUGGUGAGGUAAAGGCUCACCAAGGCAUCGAUCAGUAGCUGGUCUGAGAGGACGACCAGCCACACUGGAACUGAGACACGGUCCAGACUCCUACGGGAGGCAGCAGUGGGGAAUAUUGCGCAAUGGGCGAAUGCCUGACGCAGCAACGCCGCGUGAGGGAUGAAGGCCUUCGGGUUGUAAACCUCUUUCGAGCAGGGACGAUAAUGACGGUACCUGCAGAAGAAGCUCCGGCCAACUACGUGCCAGCCGCCGCGGUAA